UUUCUGCAGUACUAAAGUGCUUAUAGUGCAGGUAGUGUUUGUCCCCAUAUCUACUGCAAUGUAAGCACUUGAAGUAUUUCCAACU
rnacentral:pre_miRNA from 17 species